CUUCUUGUUUUGAUUUGAAGUCGUGCCUGCCCACUGAGGAGUUGAAUGGCCGCGGUAUAUUGACCGUGCAAAGGUAGCAUAAUCAUUAGUCUUUUAAUUGGAGGCUGGAAUGAAUGGUUUGACGAAAUAAUAACUGUCUCGGAGUGAUGUAUUGAAUUUUACUUUUGAGUUAAAAGGCUCAAAUGAAAAUAGGGGACGAGAAGACCCUAUAGAUCUUAAUAUUAUUAUAUUGAAAUUUAUGUUUGGUGGUUUUUUAUAGAUGUUAAUAUAUUGUAUUUGGUUGGGGUGACAAGAGAAUAAUUUAACUUCUUUAUGUUUAACUAUGAUGAUUGGUUAAUUGAUCCUGUAUUAUGGAAUGAAGAUAAAGAUACCUUAGGGAUAACAGCGUAAUGUUAUUGGAGAGUUCAUAUUGAUAAUAAAGAUUGCGACCUCGAUGUUGGAUUAAGAAGAUUGUUAAGUGCAGGAGCUUAAUAUAUUGGUCUGUUCGACCAUUGAAUUCUUACGUGAUCUGAGUU
rnacentral:rRNA from 1 species